GACGAACCGUGCGAACGUUAUUCGGAAUCACUGGGCUUAAAGCGCGUGUAGGCGGGACGGCACGUCGGUCGCUGAAAGCCCCCGGCUCAACCGGGGAACGGGCGCCGAUACGACCGCCCUGGAGGGACGUAGGGGGACCUGGAACUUCCGGUGGAGCGGUGAAAUGCGUUGAUAUCAGGAGGAACACCCAUGGCGAAGGCGAGCAAACUGGGCAUCAUCGACGCUGAGGCGCGAAAGCGUGGGUAGCAAACAGG
rnacentral:rRNA from 1 species